rnacentral:rRNA from 1 species
GACAAACGCUGGCGGCAGGCCUAACACAUGCAAGUCGAACGGACAGAACGGGGUUGCUUGUCGUCGUGGAACGGGAAAGGUAGAGGCGGGUGGGUGAGUAACGCAUGGACAACCUACCUAGGAAAUAGGAAGAACCUCGAGAAAUCGAAGCUAAUACCCCAUAAUAACCUUGCUUCGCAUGGAGUAAGGAGGAAAGGCGGCCUUAGCGCGGUCGAGACAAGUUGGGUGCGCGUCUGAUUGGCGAGUUGGUGAGGGAAAGGCUCACCAAGGCGACGAGCAGUACCCGGCCUGUGAUGGUGAACGGCCCCAUUGGAACUGAGACACGGCCCAGACUCCUCCGCGAGGCCGCACUGGGGAAUCUUACGCAAGUGGCGAAAGCCUGACGGAGCCAUGCCGCGUGAGUGAAGAAAGCCUUCGGGUUGUAAUACUCUGUUGUUAUCGAAGGGAGAGUGUUGUAGUAACUGACGAUACUAUGACGGUAGCUGAGGAGUAAGCCCCGGCUAACUCCGUG